AUUGAACGCUGGCGGCAGGCCUAACACAUGCAAGUCGAGCGGAUGAGUGGAGCUUGCUCCAUGAUUCAGCGGCGGACGGGUGAGUAAUGCCUAGGAAUCUGCCUGGUAGUGGGGGACAACGUUUCGAAAGGAACGCUAAUACCGCAUACGUCCUACGGGAGAAGGUGGGGGAUCUUCGGACCUCACGCCAUCAGAUGAGCCUAGGUCGGAUUAGCUAGUUGGUGAGGUAAAGGCUCACCAAGGCGACGAUCCGUAACUGGUCUGAGAGGAUGAUCAGUCACACUGGAACUGAGACACGGUCCGGACUCCUACGGGAGGCAGCAGUGGGGAAUAUUGGACAAUGGGCGAAAGCCUGAUCCAGCCAUGCCGCGUGUGUGAAGAAGGUCUUCGGAUUGUAAAGCACUUUAAGUUGGGAGGAAGGGCAGUAAGUUAAUACCUUGCUGUUUUGACGUUACCAACAGAAUAAGCACCGGCUAACUUCGUGCCAGCCGCCGCCGUAAAAC
rnacentral:rRNA from 1 species